rnacentral:rRNA from 1 species
AGUGAACGCUGGCGGUAGACCUAACACAUGCAAGUCGAACGGCAGCACAGUAAGAGCUUGCUCUUACGGGUGGCGAGUGGCGGACGGGUGAGGAAUACAUCGGAAUCUACUUUUUCGUGGGGGAUAACGUAGGGAAACUUACGCUAAUACCGCAUACGACCUACGGGUGAAAGCAGGGGAUCUUCGGACCUUGCGCGAUUGAAUGAGCCGAUGUCGGAUUAGCUAGUUGGCGGGGUAAAGGCCCACCAAGGCGACGAUCCGUAGCUGGUCUGAGAGGAUGAUAAGCCACACGGGAACUGAGACACGGUCCAGACUCCUACGGGAGGCAGCAGUGGGGAAUAUUGGACAAUGGGCGCAAGCAUGAUCCAGCCAUACCGCGUGGGUGAAGAAGGCCUUCGGGUUGUAAAGCCCUUUUGUUGGGAAAGAAAAGCAGCAGGUUAAUACCCAGCUGUUCUGACGGUACCCAAAGAAUAAGCACCGGCUAACUUCGUG